rnacentral:lncRNA from 1 species
GUUAAGACUUAGCUAUUUCAACUGCCUGUGAAAUGUUUGGAUAAGUUGUAACCCUUAAACCAGUAGUGGUGAUUUUGCACAUUCUAAAAUUGUAUGUUGAUAGAGUGAUUCAACAGUAAUUUUUCUAACCUCUUCUUAAAAGGCUGAUGAAUCUAAAACCUCAAAUUUCUGAUUAUGAUGUACAGAGAUCCACACAUUCCUUUACUACUGCAGUAAAAUAUUUUAGAUAAAGUGACUUUCUGAAAAAAAAUCAAACAUUGCAGUGAUUUUUGUUGUUAUAAACUUCCACUUCCCUGACCUAGGUCUGGUACUAGGGCUUUGUUUUCAUUGUCAUAUAAAUGUGCUACUGAUUCUCUCUACCUAGGAGCCUUCUGCCAUCCUCUCCUGCUACUGGUGCCACAGGGAGGUGUGGCUCUCCCUCGGGGUCAACCCAUGUAUCACAGAUACUCUUUUGUGGCCCUGGGAUCUUUAUUGUCCCCAGCAUCAACCUCACUUUUCUAUAAAACCAGUUGAAAUCUGUUCUGGUUUCUUUUGUGGGACUAUUAGAGCAUAAAAGUAUGUAUAUGAUGUAAAAAUAGUAAUAUAGAAAACUGAGCUGUGCCUUCAGGAAGGGGCUUGGACCUGCUGUUUGAAAUACAGCUACAAGAGAAUGGGAGGUCAUCAGUCCUGCCUUCCUGUCGCAGGCUAUAUUCCCUGAAAGUCCUGCCAGUGUUAGCUCACACUGACCCCAGGGCCAGAGACUUAGAAGAAAGGAAAUAUGCUCACUUUAUCUGUGCACCAUCGGCACACAUGCAUGUAUGCACCAGGCUCUGUGCUGAGUGCUUGACGGGUGAUGUUCCGGGUAACGCUGCCAUCUCAUGCAAGCAGCAGAGGAUAGGUCGGCCUGUGAAGGUUGCCAGCAGGGGCGCAAGAUUGGAGGCUGGAUGAAGAGUUCUCCCAUAGGAUAUUUUCUAGUGCCUCUUGAGUAUCUGGGCUCCUCACUGUUCUAGGCUCAAGGCACAAUGCCUCAGGGAAAAACACCAUGUGGUGAUGACAGGGGAAGAUCUGCCUGGGGGAGGUGACAGGGUGGAGGAGAGGUGACAACCGGAAGCGUGGGUCUAAUACAAUAAAAAAGAGCCUAACUUCUGAUGUGUUGAUAGCAAAUAGAACUACGUGUGACUGGGAAACUCCAGAUGGAGGAAAAAAGAUGGGUAAGCAGAAACGGAUCUGAGGUCCAGAGGAAAAUGAGGUAAAAAAAAUCAAAACCCCAACUGGUGUGUGCUCUGCUCCAAAGACAAGCAGCAAAUCCUCCCUCCACCACCAGCAGACAGACUUCAGACAAGCCCAGCGCCAGUUAGUGGGUAUCUGGAUCCCUCUCCAUAUCUGGUGCUCUGUGAAGGGGCUGGGAUUGACUUUGGGUACUCCAGUAGCUGAAGAGUGACCGUGGAAGGGUGCAUGGGUGGCUCAGUCAGUGAAGUGUCUGCCUUUGGCUCAGGUCAUGAUCCCAGAGUCCCAGGAUUGAGCCCUGUAUCAGGCUCCGUGCUCAGUGGAGAGUCUGCUUUUCCUUCUUCGUCUGUUCCUACUCUCUAUCUCAAACAAAUAAAAUCUUAACAAAAAAAGAAAGAAAAGUGAUGUGAUGUGGAGACAGUGGAGACCGUCCCAGUGAAAGGAAACAGAAGCUAACUGUGACCCCUUGCUGAAUCAGUGGCAAUAUUUUCACAGUUGUGACUCACUUCCUGUACAUGAUGCAUGAAAGCAAAUGGAAGGGUUGUUCUUUCUUCCCUGUUUUGAUGUAGUUCUGAUUAUAAGGUACAUGGGUCUUGUUUCAUGAGGUCUUUGGAUCCCUGGGUGAGCAUGAACCAUGAUUUUUUUAAAAAGUCUUUCCCCAACUUUGGACAGUGCACAGUGUAUACUCUCCACCAAACUCCAUUGAUUAUUCAUUUGUCAUAGUCGAUUAUGGCAUCCCUUGAAGAGAAACAAAUGGGUAUUCUACAAAAUUCUUACUUGAGCUUAUUUUUUUAAUAUUUUAUUUUUAUUUAUUCAUGAAAGACACACAGAGAGGCAGAGAAAUAAAUAGAGGGAGAAGCAGGUUCCUCAUGUAUGGAGCCCGAUGUGGGACUCGAUCCCAGGACCUGGGUUCAUGACCCAAACCAAAGGCAGAUGCUCAACCACUGAGCCACCCAGGUGCCCCACUUGAGGUCUUUAAAUGGAAGAGCUCCUGGUGGAGGGCACUCAAGUCUAAUCUCAAUCGAUUGAUAGCCCCUCAAUUGACUCCCAGAUGUGAGCCAGUUUAUAGAUCUGGAACCCCUUGAAUGAAGGGGAGGCCGGGUCCCCUGAAGAAAAAUUUCACUACACUGCCAGAGAUAUAUACUCUUGAUCUUUCUGUCAGCCUUCCCCCAAAGGGACUUAUGGCCUAUUAUCAGGGUGACUUGCAUUAGGGGAAAGGAAGUAACCAGCCUUUUGUGGGGGGAGAAACGAACACUGCUUCUGAGCUGACAUGAAUUCCAAGGGGCUCAAAGUAUUGCUGUGGCUCACCAGUCAGAGUGAAGCUCAUGGAGAUCAGGUGAUCAAUGGAGUUGUAGCUCAGUACUGACUCACGGUGGGCCCUUUAAGUCCCCAAACUUACCCUAUGGUUAUUUCCCCAGUUCCAGACUAUAACUAGAACACAUAUACUCAGGAACUGGCAGAAUAUCCACAUUAGUUCCCUGACCUGUGGAGUGACAGCUAUUAUUGUAAGAAAGGCCAAGCGGAAACCACUAGAACUUUCUUUACUUAGGCCAAUAGUAAUCCGAAAGCAAUGCUUCAUUCAUCCAGGAAUUUCAGAGAGUAGUGCCACCAUCAAGGACCUGAAACAUGCAGGAGUGGUGAUUCCUACUACACGACAACUCACCUGGCAUAUAUUUUUUCUUUUUCAAAUCUUUAUUUCUUUAUUUAAAUUCUAGUUAGUCAUCUUGGAUAUUUAACCUGUGUAGAACACAAAUACAUCUCAGGGCUCUUGAGUGGUGCAGUUAUUUAAGUGCUCCACUCUUGGUUCAGGCUUGGGUGGUGACCUCAGGGUCGUGAUCUCAAGGUCAAGAGAUCAAGCCCCCCUUGGAGCUCUGUGAUGGGCUCAGUGCUCAGCGUGGAGACUUCUUGAGAUUCUCUCUCCUCUCUCUCUCUCUCUCUCUCUCUCUCUCUCUCAAACUACAUAAAUAAAUAUUUAAAAAAAGAAAAGCAGAUAUAUCUUGGAGGACAACAGUGCUUUAUUGUAAACUUAAGGAGGUCGGGAUUCAGGUUACACCCACUGUUUCAGAUGUGAUGUCAUUGCUUGAGUGAAUUAGCACAGCCUGUGGUAGCUGGUAUGCAGCUCUUGAUCUGGCAAAUGUCUUUUCCUCCCACUCAAUAACUGUUAGUAAAGACUACCAGAAGCCUUUGAUGUCACCAGGCAAGGCCAGCAAUACAUCUUCAUUGUCCUACCUCAGGGAUUUCUCAACUGUCUAAUCCUGUGUCCUAAUUUAAUUCCUGGAAACUUGAUAGACUUUCCCUUCCACAGGAUUAUCACAAAGGACUAUUACAUUGAUGAUGCUAGGAUGAUUGGACCUAGUAAGCAAGAAGUAGCAACUACUCUAGACUUCAGGGCUUCCCUGAGUGAUCACUGGCUCCAGCUAGAAGAUCAGGGACCUUCAUGCUGUUCCCUAAGGGAAAGUUUCCUUCAGAAGCAUUUCUGUUCCUAGCCCAUUGUUUCUGACCAUAAGUCAACCUGCCAUCACUUAUCAUCAUAAAAGGGCCCAAUAGCAAGAGAGAUUAUUACAGGAAUCUGAGGGCCAACUUUCAAUAGAGGAACACAGUUUGGAGGGCACCUGGAUGGCUCAAUCAAUUAAGCUUCCGCCUUCCACAGGUCAUGAUCCUGGAGUCCUGGGAUCAGGCCCUGCAUCAGGCUCCCUGCUCAGUGGGAAGUCUGCUUCUUCCUCCCCCUCUGCUCCUUCCUGCUGCUUCUUCUCUCUCUCUCUCAAAUAAAAAAAAAUU